rnacentral:rRNA from 1 species
GACGAACGCUGGCGGCGUGCCUAAUACAUGCAAGUAGAACGCUGAAGAGAGGAGCUUGCUCUUCUUGGAUGAGUUGCGAACGGGUGAGUAACGCGUAGGUAACCUGCCUUGUAGCGGGGGAUAACUAUUGGAAACGAUAGCUAAUACCGCAUAACAAUGGAUGACACAUGUCAUUUAUUUGAAAGGGGCAAUUGCUCCACUACAAGAUGGACCUGCGUUGUAUUAGCUAGUAGGUGAGGUAAUGGCUCACCUAGGCGAAGAUACAUAGCCGACCUGAGAGGGGGAGCGGCCAAACUGGGACUGAGACACGGCCCAGACUCCUUCGGGAGGCAGCAGGAGGGAAUCUUCGGCAAUGGGGGCAACCCUGACCGGGCAACGCCGCGGGAGGGGAGAAGGGUUUCGGAUCGGAAAGCUCUGUUGUAAGUCAAGAACGGGAGUGAGAGUGGAAAGUUCACGCUGUGACGGUAGCUUACCAGAAAGGGACGGCUAACUACGUG